AGGGCACCACCAGGAGUGGAGCCUGCGGCUUAAUUUGACUCAACACGGGAAAUCUCACCAGGCCCGGACACCGGAAGGAUUGACAGAUUGAGAGCUCUUUCUUGAUUCGGUGGGUGGUGGUGCAUGGCCGUUCUUAGUUGGUGGAGCGAUUUGUCUGGUUAAUUCCGAUAACGAACGAGACUCUGGCCUACUAACUAGACGUCGGAUCCCUUUGUGGGUCCGUCGCAGCUUCUUAGAGGGACGGGCGGCGUUUAGCCGCACGAGAUUGAGCAAUAACACGUCUGUGAUGCCCUUACAUGUUCUGGGCCCUGCACGCGCUACACUGAACGUAUCACCAUGUGUUCCCUAUUUUUAAGGAUUUGGCAUCCCUUUCCAACUCAAUCACGAUGGGGAUUGGGGGGUGAAUUAAUUUAUUUCUCUUAAGCAUAUUUUCCUUUGCAUGUUGGCAUUGCUCCCACUAAUUUAUCCUUCUUUUCUCCACCCGUCGCUCUCCUUUUCGUUAGUAGUAUAGAAGCAUAA
rnacentral:rRNA from 1 species